GAAGUCCCACCCAACGGGUGAAGAAGACGGAUGUGUUUCGCCCGUGGGCUUGGCUUUGCGUCUAGUCCGGCGUCGCAGACCGGUUUCGCCAUGUCUCUUCCUCAAACGGUGUUCGGCUAUGACAAGAUGAAGCUGGAUGUCUCCUUCCCAGACGCUGGCUGCCAGCAACUCCUGGAGCAUGAAUGCAAGCUAUGUACUUUCCAGGAGAGGCGAAUGGUCACACAAGUAGCUGCUGACCCUCUGGUGAAUAGUCAAAGGGAUACAUGGUCCGAACCAGCGAUGGGAACAGCAAACAAGGCUUUCCCUUGGAAGGUCCCAGCAAGGUGUCUGGACCCACGGCCAAGUGCACCUGCUGUUGUGACCAAGGAAAGCUGGAGAGAGGCAGGCUGAGUCUGUCUGCAGGCACGUUACGGAUGCCAGUCUGAGUCCUCAACUCGGUUAUCAUGAGCCAAGGAGAAAAGGAGAUUCCUGGACUGACAGAUACUCCUGGGCCCCAAAGAACUGCAGAAUCGGAAAGCUUUUCAGUCUUUCCAAAGAAGCUGAUGGUGCCAGUCAACACGUUGUGAGAAAGCAAGCAAAGAAGGGAAGAAGCCCAGGACCACAGCCCCCAAGAUCCAAGACCCAGCAUCUCCUUACUCCACCUGUCCUGCAACAAAACACCAAUGUAUUGUUCAGUAGAGACUAGGUGCUAUGGAGAUGGAGAGAGGCUGUAGAGCUAAGCGUUGCUAUGGAGACCGAGGAGAGGCUACAGAGCUAAGCCUUGGGCCAAGAGAAUGAAGGAAGCCACAGAAAAAAUGCCAAGAUCAGACUGCCAAGAGAUGUAGGCUGCUUUUACCUCCAAGUCAAAGUCAAGUAAAAAUGAGUAACAACAAAUGAGCCGACCUUCAAAAAAUACUUUGUUGGGUCAGCCAGGUGCUCAGUGGGUAAAGGCACUGUGUCCAAGUUUGCUGACCUGAGAACCAUCCCUGGGACCUACCUGGUGGAGGAAGAGAACUGACUCCAGCAAGUUGUCCUCUGUCUCCCACACGUGCGCUAUAGCUCUCACAUGCACAUACCCAAUAAAUAAAUAGAUUUAAGACACCUUAAAAUUAAAAAGAUAUAUUUUUUAAUUAAACCCUA
rnacentral:lncRNA from 1 species